UACGUAGGGGGCAAGCGUUGUCCGGAAUUAUUGGGCGUAAAGAGCGUGUAGGCGGCCAGGUAGGUCUGCUGUGAAAACUCGAGGCUCAACCUCGAGACGUCGGCGGAAACCAUCUGGCUAGAGUCCGGAAGAGGAGAGUGGAAUUCCUGGUGUAGCGGUGAAAUGCGCAGAUAUCAGGAAGAACACCCGUGGCGAAGGCGGCUCUCUGGGACGGUACUGACGCUGAGACGCGAAAGCUAGGGGAGCAAACGGG
rnacentral:rRNA from 1 species